rnacentral:rRNA from 1 species
AUAUCAAUAAGCGGAGGAAAAGAAACUAACAAGGAUUCCCCUAGUAACUGCGAGUGAAGCGGGAAAAGCUCAAAUUUAGAAUCUGGCAGUUUAUUUGGCUGUCCGAGUUGUAAUCUAGAGAAGUGUUAUCCACUCUGGACCAUGUACAAGUCUCCUGGAAUGGAGCAUCAUAGAGGGUGAGAAUCCCGUCUUUGGCAUGGACUACCAGGGGUGCUGUGAUACACUUUCAAAGAGUCGAGUUGUUUGGGAAUGCAGCUCAAAAUGGGUGGUAAAUUCCAUCUAAAGCUAAAUAUUGGCGAGAGACCGAUAGCGAACAAGUACCGUGAGGGAAAGAUGAAAAGAACUUUGGAAAGAGAGUUAAACAGUACGUGAAAUUGCUGAAAGGGAAACGCUUGAAGUCAGUCGCAUUGGUUGGAAAUCAGCCUUACUUUAAUGUUGGGGUGCAUUUUCCAGUUGAUGGGUCAGCAUCAAUUUCAGUGGCUGGAUAAGGGGUGUCAAGGAAUGUGGCAUUUAUAAUGUGUUUAUAGCCUCACACCAAUAACAGUCAUUGGGAUUGAGGAACUCAGUGCAAUUUUGUGCUUAGGAUGCUGGCAUAAUGGCUUUAAUCGACCCGUCUUGAAACACGGACCAAGGAGUCUAACAUGCCUGCGAGUAUUUGGGUGGAAAACCCAUAUGCGUAAUGAAAGUGAAAGUUGAGAUCCCUGUAAUGGGGGAGCAUCGAUGCCCGGACCUGACGUUUUCUGACGGUUCUGCGGUAGAGCAUGUAUGUUGGGACCCGAAAGAUGGUGAACUAUGCCUGAAUAGGGUGAAGCCAGAGGAAACUCUGGUGGAGGCUCGUAGCGAUUCUGACGUGCAAAUCGAUCGUCAAAUUUGGGUAUAGGGGCGAAAGACUAAUCGAACCAUCUAGUAGCUGG